UUAGGGGUGCCGUAAGGCUGAGAUUAUACCCUUGGAACCUGAUGCGGUUAGUACCGCCGUAGGGAGAGCAGAGAAC
rnacentral:ncRNA from 1 species